rnacentral:rRNA from 1 species
AUGGACCCCGACGCCGNNNNNNNCGACGCCACCCUCCCGGUCGACCUCCUCCUCGAGAUCGCGGCGCGCUCCGACGCCGUCUCCGUCGUGCGCUGCGCGGCGGCCGCCAAGCCGCUGCGCCGCGCCAUCCUCGACCGGGGCUUCCGCCGCCUCCUCGCGCAGCGCGCCACCGCCACCUCCGGCUACGACCCGUCCCUGCUCCGCGGCGUCUCCUACAAGAUCGAGGACAGCGACGCCGACCGCCCGGCACGCGUCCUGCAGGCCGUGCCCCCCGACGAGCCCUCCGUGCUCCGCUUCAACGAGAGCCUCGCCUUCGAGCCCGUCGCCUCCCGCGACGGCCUCGUCGUGCUCCGCCGCCUCCGCCCCCGGCCCCUCUUCGGCCAGUCCAUCGAGGAGGGGCCCCCCGGCAGCGUCCUCCGCGUCUGCCACAGCUUCACCGGCGCCGUCUCCGUCCUCCCCUCCGUCUCCAUCCGCGACUACCGCAAGCACGCGCUGCUCUCCGUCGACGACAACGGCCGCGCCUACGAGCUGCUCGUCGCCGACGAGCGCCUGCGCAUCCAGAUUUACUCCUCGCGCGAGGGCCGCUGGGGCCCCGUCCGCGCCGCGCUCCCCCGCCGCCAGUCCAGGCCGUUCCAUGACUCCUACCCCCUCGUCAUCGGCCGCACCGUCCACUGGCUCUGCAACCCGGAGCCGCUGCCGCCCGGCCGCCACCUGUCCGGCCCGGAGCCGUACAUCGUCGCCGUGGACGUCGACACCAUGGAGGCCACCGUGAUCGAUCUGCCGCGGGGCUGCACCAGCAGAAUGACGGCCUCUAUGAGCCACCGGGGCCUCCUCCUGGCCGCUUCCGUGGACGGGAGGCUCAAGGUUGUGGUCUCGGAGACCCAGGUUAUAUCAAUGUGGACCAUGUUACCACCCGUCGAGGGCGAGCCGAGCUCGCCGCCGAGAUGGAUCCGGCAGGUGCUGAUAGACAAGCAGGACUGGGGCGUGCACAGCUCAGUUCAGUUCGAGGGGUUCGGGCUCAGGAGUGGCACUGUCAUCCUAUAUGUCGGCAGAGUUGGGCUCAUUCGGCUCAACCUUGCCACAAAAGAGGCGGUCAUCGUCUACCACCGCAGCGAUACGGCCUACAUCUCGCAGGUUUGCCUGCACGAGAUGGAUUUGUCCUCUCUGCUGCAGACCAUGAAGCCUCUGAGCUAG